AGCCUUGAAAGCUUACUAGCUAAAGCACCCGGCCUUGUAAAUCGGGAGAGAAGGUUAAACCCCUUCUCAAGGCUA
rnacentral:tRNA from 1 species